CACGAAAACAGUUGAGCUAAGUAUGUAUAAGUUUUUAGACUUUAUGUGUGUGACAUAACAUUAAUAAAUAUUUAUUUAGGGGUGAUAGGCUUAUCAAAUCUGUAGAUAUCUUGAUACCUUAGAAAAACACAAGUGUUUUAUAUAGCCUAGUAGUGAUAAGGCUCCUAGCUAAUAUAAAAAAUUUUUAAACAUUUUUUUAUGGUUUAAUCGCCAAAAUUUAAACUAAAGUACUAUUCUUUUAAAACUUAUUGUAUUGUUUAUAAGGUUAUUAACUAACAUUUUCCUUAAGAGUUUAUGUAACUAUAAGUAAAAAUAUAAUUAUUAAAAAUGAACUCGGCAACAUACCCUUCAACUGUUUAUCAAAAACAUAGCUGUAUGUAUUUAUAUGCAGUAGUUUCUGCUCAAUGAUAUAUUAAAUAGCCGCAGUACCCUGACUGUGCAAAGGUAGCGUAAUAAUUUGACUUAUAAUUAAAGUCUUGUAUGAAUGAAAUAUUGAGGGGUAACUUUAUCUUUGAUAUUUAUUGAAAUUAUUAAGUGAGUGCAAACACUCACAAUUAAUAGACAGACGAGAAGACCCUAGAAAUUUAAAUAAAUUGCUCUUACAAACUCUUUUUGUUGGGGCAACAAGGUAACAGAUAAUUUACCGUUAUUACAAGGAAUAUAUAUCGUAAGAUUAAAUUACUCUAGGGAUAACAGCGUAAUUUAAAAUAGUUUGCGACCUCGAUGUUGGACUAGGAAGCAAUUGUUUAAAA
rnacentral:rRNA from 1 species